UUUAAUUACAACCAUAAGUUUCCGUGGUCAACUUCGAUCGUAUGUCUUAUUUAAAUUUUUUUAUGAUUAAUAUUUUUAUAGUUAUUAGAUGAUAAAACAUGAAUAAUAUUUUAUACAUAACUUAUGUUUUUAUUUUUCUUUUUAAAAAAAUUUAAAUAAGAAGGAUGAUUAAAUUUGGGCACGGAAAAUGAUGGCUAAGCUUAAA
rfam:Oryza glaberrima chromosome 5 Oglab05_0014_4, whole genome shotgun sequence.